CGUUGUUCGGAAAUUACUGGGCGUAAAGUGCAUGUAGGCGGACAUUUAAAGUCAGGGGGUGAAAUCCCCGGGGCUCAACCUCGGAACUGCCUUUGAUACUGGGUGUCUAGAGUGUGGAAGAGGUAAGUGGAAUUCCGAGUGUAGAGGUGAAAUUCGUAGAUAUUCGGAGGAACACCAGUGGCGAAGGCGGCUUACUGGUCCAUUACUGACGCUGAGGUGCGAGAGC
rnacentral:rRNA from 1 species